rnacentral:ncRNA from 2 species
CAAAAUCACAUAUCCGUCGGUGCCCCGUUGGGCUGAAAAGGGAAGUGGGGUGCAAAUCCCCCGCGGACCCGCCACUGUAAGCGCGGACAACGGACCGAAAUGCCACUGGCCAGAAAAGCUGGGAAGGCGGUCCUGCGAACGAAGCGCGAGCCAGAAUACCUGCCGCUACGGAUAACCCACA